rnacentral:rRNA from 1 species
UACGGGGGGGGCAAGCGUUGUUCGGAAUUACUGGGCGUAAAGGGCUCGUAGGCGGCCAACUAAGUCAGACGUGAAAUCCCCAGGCUUAACCUGGGAACUGCGUCUGAUACUGGAUGGCUUGAAUUCGGGAGAGGGAUGCAGAAUUCCAGGUGUAGCGGUGAAAUGCGUAGAUAUCUGGAGGAAUACCGGUGGCGAAGGCGGCAUCCUGGACCGAGAUUGACGCUGAUGAGCGAAAGCUAGGGAAGCAAACGGG